rnacentral:rRNA from 1 species
CCUACGGGAGGCUGCAGUGGGGAAUAUUGCACAAUGGGGGAAACCCUGAUGCAGCGACGCCGCGUGAGUGAAGAAGUAUUUCGGUAUGUAAAGCUCUAUCAGCAGGGAAGAAAAUGUCGGUACCUGAUUAAGAAGCCCCGGCUAACUACGUGCCAGCAGCCGCGGUAAUACGGAGGGGGAAAGCGUUAUCCGGAUUUACUGGGGGUAAAGGGAGCGUGGACGGCAGCACAAGUCUGGAGUGAAAUGCCGGGGCUUAACCCCGGAACUGCAUUUGAGAGUGUGCAGCUAGAGUGCAGGAGAGGGAAGUAGAAUUCCUAGUGUAGCGGUGAAAUGCGUAGAGAUUAGGAGGAACACCAGUGGCGAAGGCGGCUUACUGGAC